AUUGAACGCUGGCGGCAGGCCUAACACAUGCAAGUCGAACGAGUGGCGGACGGGUGAGUAAUGUCUGGGAAACUGCCUGAUGGAGGGGGAUAACUACUGGAAACGGUGGCUAAUACCGCAUACCAUCAGAUGUACCCAGAUGGGAUUAGCUUGUUGGUGGGGUAACGGCUCACCAAGGCGACGAUCCCUCGCUGGUCUGAGAGGAUGACCGGCAACACUGGAACGGAGACACGGUCCCGAUUCCUACGGGAGGCAGCAGUGGGGAAUAUUGCACAAUGGGCGCAAGCCUGAUGCAGCCAUGCCGCGUGUAUGAAGAAGGCCUUAGGGUUGUAAAGUACUUUCAGCGGGGAGGCGUUACCCGCAGAAGAAGCACCGGCUAACUCCGUGCCAGCAGCCGCGGUAAUUC
rnacentral:rRNA from 1 species